AACCAGGCAGCCGCUGGAGGAGGGAGGAGGUAGCCGAUGAGCUCCGAUUCUGAUGCCGUCCUCUGUGCUUUCAGGGUCAGGUGACACCGUGAACGACGCGGGCUGCCGGCGACCCUGGGCUCACGGCACGGUGACACGCAAGACUCUCAGGAGACGGUGUGCGCCUUCGUGUGACGAGGUGUUUCCAAGUUAGCAGGUGUGGCAAAGCCGUGCAGGGGACCCCAGGAAGCUCACUCUGUGUCAGGACCCAUGUCAUGUUGAACAGCCGCCAUAAAUCCGGCCUCCUAAGCGUGCACGGACUCUUCGCCUUCGACAUGUGUGUACUUGAACAACGUGUGGCUUUAACUUGAUUGUAUUUCACUCGAGGUUGAUGUUAGACCUGCUGUCAACGCUUUUCAUCCCCUAGAGAGGUAGAAGGCAAUUCACUUACAGCUUGAGGGCUGUAACAUUUUUUGUAGAUACAUCGGAUGACACCUGGAUGAAUAUUCUGCCCUGAAAUUUUGCAGCAAAAAAAAAAACUUCAAAAUAUUAUUGAUUCUCUACAUCUCUACAUUUCCUUUAUAGUAUUUAUUACUAUAAGAAACAUGGUUUGACUGCCACAAUGGCUUUUUCAAACAAUUAUAUAAAUUAUUCUAAAGGUGAUUUGAAAGCUCACAUAAUCCUGCAUUACCUGUGGAUAAAUGUUCCACACAUUGUAAAGAAAGAAAAAUGUGACGACGACUGAAGGCGCCUCUGAUAAAAUGACCUGAAAUUAAGCUGCAGGAUUUGCCAGUUCGUUAAUAAGCUGAGAUUUUAAAUCAAUUUGAAUGCAUCCCGCUGUCUGAGAGUCUGAGAGGUGGUACCGAGUGUCCAUCCAUCCAUAAACGCUUAGCCGGUGCCUGGCCACAGUGAGGCUGGAGCCCAUCGCAGGACCCAGGAAGGCGCAAAGCACAGGAAGCCAGUCCAUCAGGAACACACACUUUAGAGAAACCAGUUCACCUGAACCACCAGUCUUUCAGUUGUGGGAGGAUAUUCCCAGAAGUAACUGAUGGAAACUCAUGGAGGUCAACAUGCAAAUACCAAGCCUAUAGAAAUACAUACAUACAUACAUACAUACAUACAUACAUACAUACAUACAUACAUACAGACAGACAGACAGACAGACAGACAGACAGACAGACAGACAGACAAAAUUAUUUUGGUCCCACCUUCUAUGAAUGCCACGUCUAUAAGAAUAUAUGAACACAUUAUACUGCAUUUAUAAAUAUUUAUUUAAAAAGGCAUUAACACAUUACAGUAUAACCAUGUGCAUUAUGGGGAUGCAUUCAUGAAUUCCAACCCAAAUCAGGAAAUGGAAUUGAAUUUGUGAAGCUUUCAUGUAUAUCACACUAUAGAUGCCUUCAUAAUUAUUCUUAAUUCUUCUACCGACAAUUAUAGCGCAUUAUA